GGCUUGUACCCAUGAUUGGUGUAUUAUCUGUGAAUAAAGAUACAAAAUUUCCAACGCUUAAACAGCUACUACAUGUCAAUAGGCUCAGAGGAAAAAAAAAUGUGCCUCUUUUUACUACUGAGCACUUUCAAAACCAUCACACCUUCUGGAAGUGAGGUGUUUAUUGAAUUCCUAGCCAGAAAGUGCUUCACAAAGAAUGUUCAGAGGAUAAAAUUACCAGAUUUUUCUUUCAGGCAACAUAACCUGUAUUCCUGUUUGCCCUUCACAGUUCAGAAGCUAGAACAACUGUAUAUCCUCCCAUAACUCAUUAGCAGUAAGGAAAUUGUAAAGCAUUUUAUGAUCUUCACCUUCCUCUACUUUUAAAAUACUUGAAUUCUGCAUUCUGGAUUUCUUUUUUUUUUCUUUUUCUUCUUUUUUAAUACCACAGUAAAUGAACUGGAGACUGCACACAAAUCAAAUAUUAAAUACACUAAUAUCCAAGAUUCCAAGAUUACCUAAAUCCUGAGAACAAUGUUGGCUGCUUUCCAACUAAAGAGCACAUAGUACAUGCAUUUUUUCCAGUACCCUUUCAGAGUUCUAUUAAAUUCAGUGUAUUCUGGUGGUCUUAUACAAUUCAAUUUUUCAAGUAGUCAGCAUACAUUUUAGAUAAGAACAACAUGAAGCAGGGAGAUCCCUAUUUGUUUCCUGUCACAAGCACCGCAAUUGUGGACUGCUCUUGAAGCCCUCCCACAUUCAUCCUCUCUCUUCCACCCUCCUGAAGAAUCUGAUACACCAUGUCAAAAGCAGAGCCAAUGUUUGAGGAAUAGAGUAUCUGUUUAAAUGGUUUCAUCUGAGUUAUCACUUUUGGUAUGUAGAGUACCUGCUGACAGGGAGCAGAUUCCUCAUUUCCUGCUGUUCAACAUACAACUGGAUCGUAAAUGAAGCUCUUGACAUUGCCUCUAAAAUCUGGCUGCAUCCUCCCAUCAAGUGAUGUCUUCCUCAAGUCCUCAUUUAUCACUUUGAUAUUUCACUUUGAAAGAAACCAAACUUCCAGGGACCAAAGGACCAGAAGGGAACCAUUAAGGGAGGAUGUUUGGGGAGCAAAUUAUCCACACAGACCAUCAAGUUUCAUCUAUUCAUUUUUAUAGGUUCAAGACAAACCUUGAUCAAAGAGACCCUCCCCACCCCCACCCCCCCAAACUACAACAGAAGCAAUUUAUAAGGAGAAACUGAUUUUUUGAAGGAUUUUUUCUUGUUUAUUUUAGAGGGACCACCACAAAAUAUAAGUUCUUCAGAGGCCCCUCCAAUUUCUGCUUUGCUUAUUCAAAGCAGUGUUCUCACCAAAAUCAACUACUACGUAUUUUUGAUCUGCCAGUUUGCUUCUAAAAAAACAAGGAGCUGUUCUGUCUGAGCAGGAGCAGCCACCCUUUCUUUCUGAGUAGUAGAUACAUGCUUUCGGUAAUUGAAUGCAGCUGCUUUCCUUUCUGCCCCUUUAGCUUUUGAAGGAAAUCCUGUUCAGAGAGGUAUCAGUGCCUUCAGUAGGGAUGAGGGAAGGCCAACUGGAAGGCCUGCCUUUGCCUUCAAAGGCCAGAUACUGUAUGACACAUUCUUAAAUCACAGCAGAGAAUGUAGGUAUGAUAUUACAGGAAAAUAUGAUUUCACUGCCUGUCUUUUAGAGUCUAAAUAGAUAGCUGGAUUUUCUUUAGAAGAUGGUCUUCCCCAAGUGAGAUAAUCUGCUCUCUUGCAUGGAGAUAUAAUAGCUUUUGCCAGUAGGAUAAUGUAUCUGAAAAGACUUCUAUAGGCAUAGCAUUAUCUCAAUAUGUGUUUUUGCUGUUAAACACCUUGUUUUCUGUCUUUAUAGAGAUAUCCAGGGACUAGAUGUGAGGGAGUUUUCAGUGGUUGAACCUUGAAUCUGUGUCCUCUCAGUCUUCUCAGAGAAGUCUGUCCCUCCUCCCCUUUAAUCAUCCUUGAUGCUUCUCUCUGAACUCCCUCCAGUAUGUCUACAUUUUUUGCUGAUAAUCUUCUGAAACCUUCCACCUCUAACUCCUAGAAAAGAGAAGAACAAAGGGAAAAUAGUGCCAGCCACUGCUUGUAUUUCAGUUCCACGGGGUCGCAUCUGCCACUCAGGACUGUGCACAGACCUGUUAAAAUGCUCUGCAGAGUUUCUUGAUGCCUGGCUUGUCCAGCUCACCCUUUCCAACGUCAUGCUACUAUUAUGCUGUGCAACUGGCCACUCUGACAGCUUUCAUGAUGCCGAAGUUUAUGGCAACUGUAAAUCUAUUAAGCCACAAUUUGCACUUAAUAAAAUGAAACAGCAAGCAGUUAAACGAAAGCUCGAUCCUAAACUGGAGAACAUUUUUCAGCAAAAGUCACCGGGGCCGUUGCUGCUACUGCUGCCUGCCUUUGAGAAAUUCAAUCGUGCUGAUUGAGGAAACCUGGAGAGAGCUGACUAUUCCUUCCUUCAGUUCGUAAUUGCCCCGUAGACCAUUUAAUCAUCUGCGGAUGAAACAAAGGCUGCGCUGUGGAGCGCCGGAUGCCGAGUAAAGCCUGCACAAGCUCUCAGGAGUUGAGCUCAGAGCAAAGGAUGAAGGUCUUCCUGCUGGGGACUGCAGCCAGGCACUGAGGCACCUGUCAGGAGAAACCUCUGAACGCUGCCUUGACAAGAAGAGAUAAACGCUGGGAGUUAAAGGAGAGGAACGUGAAUCUGCUGGCUCCUGUAAAACAAAUUUCUCUGUCAAUAUUACAAUGGUAUUCUUCA